rnacentral:sRNA from 1 species
CCUCUUCGAUCUGCUGGGGGCAGAUGAAGUGGAUGUGGGCGUCGAUGCCGCCUGCGGUCACGAUCUGACCUUCGCCUGCAAUCACCUCGGUCCCCGGUCCCACCAGGAUGUCCACGCCGACUUGCGUGUCCGGAUUGCCGGCCUUGCCGAUCCCGACGAUGCGGCCCUUCUUGAUGCCGAUGUCGGCCUUGACGAUACCCCAAUGAUCUAGGAUCAAGGCAUUGGUGAUGACGAGAUCCACCACCUCGUCGGCUUGCCGUUGGCACUGUCCCAUGCCGUCGCGG